rnacentral:misc_RNA from 1 species
UUUUUAUGUGAAGGGGAGUAGCCCAAAUUUGUUUGGAUAAAGUCAACAAUCUCGUGUUAUUUUUAUAACACUGGCUUUAUCAUUGAUUUAGAAAAUCAUUGGCAAGACCUUCGGCAUUUUA